CAGCCGUCUAGAGCUUCCCGUGCUUCACUUUUGACUGUUUGACUGUUUACAUAGACCACUACCUUUGCAGAAGCCGUUGCGGUGAAUAAAUAUCUACACUUCCCUACCACUGCAAUUACCAGCACAAAAUGAAGAUAUCAAUGGUUGUGUUGCUCGUUUUAACGGUAGCCUGUCUACUGUGCACUUGUGAAGUGCCUCGGACUGCAACUUACAGUCGGGACUAUGGU